rnacentral:rRNA from 1 species
GACGAACGCUGGCGGCGUGCUUAACACAUGCAAGUCGAACGGAAAGGCCCUGCUUUUGUGGGGUGCUCGAGUGGCGAACGGGUGAGUAACACGUGAGUAACCUGCCCUUGACUUUGGGAUAACUUCAGGAAACUGGGGCUAAUACCGGAUAGGAGCUCCUGCUGCAUGGUGGGGGUUGGAAAGUUUCGGCGGUUGGGGAUGGACUCGCGGCUUAUCAGCUUGUUGGUGGGGUAGUGGCUUACCAAGGCUUUGACGGGUAGCCGGCCUGAGAGGGUGACCGGCCACAUUGGGACUGAGAUACGGCCCAGACUCCUAAGGGAGGCAGCAGUGGAGAAUAUUGCACAAUGGGCGGAAGACUGAUGCAGCAACGCCGAGUGCGGGAUGACGGCCUUCGGGUUGUGAACCGCUUUCGCCUGUGACGAAGCGUGAGUGACGGUAAUGGGUAAAGAAGCACCGGCUAACUCCGUG